GACGAACGCUGGCGGCGUGCCUAAUACAUGCAAGUCGAGCGCAGGAAACUGACGGAACUCUUCGGAGGGAAGGCAGUGGAAUGAGCGGCGGACGGGUGAGUAACACGUAAGGAACCUGCCUCAAGGAUUGGGAUAACUCCGAGAAAUCGGAGCUAAUACCGGAUAGUUCAACGGACCGCAUGGUCCGCUGAUAAAAGGCGCUCCGGCGUCACCUUGAGAUGGCCUUGCGGUGCAUUAGCUAGUUGGUGGGGUAACGGCCCACCAAGGCGACGAUGCAUAGCCGACCUGAGAGGGUGAUCGGCCACACUGGGACUGAGACACGGCCCAGACUCCUACGGGAGGCAGCAGUAGGGAAUCUUCCACAAUGGACGAAAGUCUGAUGGAGCAACGCCGCGUGAGUGAUGAAGGCUUUCGGAUCGUAAAACUCUGUUGUAAGGGAAGAACACGUACGAGAGGGAAUGCUCGUACCUUGACGGUACCUUACGAGAAAGCCACGGCUAACUACGUGCCAGCCGCCGCGGUAA
rnacentral:rRNA from 1 species